UACGAAGGGGGCUAGCGUUGCUCGGAAUCACUGGGCGUAAAGCGCACGUAGGCGGCUUCCUAAGUCAGGGGUGAAAUCCUGGAGCUCAACUCCAGAACUGCCUUUGAUACUGGAGAGCUAGAGUCCGGAAGAGGUGAGUGGAACUGCGAGUGUAGAGGUGAAAUUCGUAGAUAUUCGCAAGAACACCAGUGGCGAAGGCGGCUCACUGGUCCGGUACUGACGCUGAGGUGCGAAAGCGUGGGGAGCAAACAGG
rnacentral:rRNA from 1 species